rnacentral:rRNA from 1 species
AGCGAACGCUGGCGGCAGGCCUAACACAUGCAAGUCGAACGAACCUUUCGGGGUUAGUGGCGGACGGGUGAGUAACCCGAGGGAACGUUCACUUAGGUUGGGAAUAACUCUGGGAAACUUGUGCUAAUACCGAAUGUGCCCUAAGAGGGCAUGAUUGAUUGAAUUUCGAGGUGCCCGCGUCAGAUAAGCUAGUUCGUUUAGGUAAUGGCUCACCAAGGCGACGAUCAGUAGCUGGUCUGAGAGGAUGGUCAGCCACAUUGGGACUGAGACACGGCCCAAACUCCUACGGGAGGCAGCAGUGGUGAAUGUUGCGCAAUGGGCGAAAGCCGGACGCAGCCAGGCCGCGUGAAUGAUGUAGUUCUGAGGAUUGUAAAAUUCUUUCACCGGGGACGAUAAUGACGGUACCCGGAGAAGAAGCCCCGGCUAACUUCGUG